AAUAGAGAGACUAAAAGACCGUGAGAAAAUCCAUACCUCAUAAUACCUUGCCUCAUGGUUAUGUGUUGAAAUGUACACAAACCUACCAGUAGUCCAACAAGAACAGCACGAGGAUCCUAGGAUAGA
rnacentral:sRNA from 1 species